UCAAUGUUGUACUGCAAGGCCAAAUGUGUCAUCACGUGGCUUUAAGACCUAUGGUUUCUAUGGCAGCCGCCAGUUAUGUCCGGAAGAGACACUGCCAUCAUUAUCCCAUGGUGCAGCGUCAAGAACGUUGAAAAAAAAUAAAAAAUAGAAAUCCAUGAUGGAGACGUCUUCUCGUGAUCAAGCUGGUGGAGGUCUGUGGAACUGUCCUAGAAGGACCCAGUACAGCAAGGAGAUUCAGGACAUACUGAAAUUAAUGAUGCAAGAGUCGAGACUCACCAACUUCCAGCAAAGACAGCUUAAUGACAAACUUAAGAGGAUCAGCUUUGCCAUUGACCUGCGACCCCACAUCAUCGGCUCCUCCGUCACUGCACAAACCACACUCCAGCCAAGCCCCUGGGGCGCACCGCUGACAAUUGUAGUUCUAGGGACAACUACAUCAGCUCUACUACAUUUCAACUAUCCGAGAUGCUUGGAAUUCUAAAGAUCGAGGCCCUGUUCUCCUGAUAUCAGAACUAGUUCACUGAUAGUUGGUCAGGGACACCUGGAAACAAAUGUACCACUGUUCUUGUAUAAAAAAAAUGUAAUUUAGGCCUGUGUGUAUGAGCCCUCUUUUACAGUAGUUCUCUCACAUUUCAGUUGAAUGCAUUCAGUUGUACAACUGACUAGGUAUCCCCCUUUCCUUUUCCUUCUAUGAGAGAUCUGGAUAAGAGAUGUAUGUGCGUUCAUUCUCUCCCUCACUUCUCUUGUAAGAAGAUUUAGAGGAGGAGAAGAGGAGGCUCCAGAACAUUAUAGCUACGGGGCAGGAGGAACCCAGACCCAGUCGUCCCAGGAACAUUUCCCUGGACCAGGGCCCAGAGGAGGAGAGGGACCGCUUCCAGGGGGUUUUGGAUGAAAUUGAGGAGAGGAAGGAGUUUCUGGAGGAGAUGACAGCCCUGGGGAAAGGGAAGCAGCAACAUCAUCAACACAGAGAUCUCACAGAAAAUCCGCGAGCUGGAGGUGAUUGACAAGGCCCGCAGUGCAGAGCUGAGGACCAUUAUGCCAGAGAAGAAGACUUGAGUGACAGAGAGGAAUACUCAUCUACUGACUUUGCUGAAUGGAUCUACUAUACUGCUAAUACUCUCCUACAGAAAAUACACUGCACAGGAAUUCUGAACUCAAACUUGGAUACUAGUCUUCAUUUGUGCAUAAAUGCUUGUUCAAAUUAUGGCAUGGUAACAAAUGUUGCUGGGAAGACCCCGAUGCAUCCUUGUCAAACUGUGAAAAAGCAUUGUAGUGUACAUUAAAAUAUGACCACACAUCUCUUUA